rnacentral:pre_miRNA from 1 species
GUACUACUCCCUCCGUCCAGAAUUACUUGUCGCGAAAAUGAAUGUAUCUAGAAUUAAAAUACAUCUAGAUACAUCCAUUUUCCCGACAAGUAUUUUCGAACGAAGGGAGUACUCA